rnacentral:rRNA from 1 species
CCUACGGGAGGCAGCAGUGGGGAAUCUUGCGCAAUGGGCGAAAGCCUGACGCAGCCAUGCCGCGUGAAUGAUGAAGGUCUUAGGAUUGUAAAAUUCUUUCACCGAGGACGAUAAUGACGGUACUCGGAGAAGAAGCCCCGGCUAACUUCGUGCCAGCAGCCGCGGUAAUACGAAGGGGGCUAGCGUUGCUCGGAAUUACUGGGCGUAAAGGGAGCGUAGGCGGAUAGUUUAGUCAGAGGUGAAAGCCCAGGGCUCAACCUUGGAAUUGCCUUUGAUACUGGCUAUCUUGAGUACGGAAGAGGUAUGUGGAACUCCGAGUGUAGAGGUGAAAUUCGUAGAUAUUCGGAAGAACACCAGUGGCGAAGGCGACAUACUGGUCCGUUACUGACGCUGAGGCUCGAAAGCGUGGGGAGCAAACAGGAUUAGAUACCCUGGUAGUCCACGCUGUAAACGAUGAGUGNUAGUGUCGCAUGCAUGCAUGUCGGUGACGCAGCUACGCAUAAGACGACUCCGCCGUCGGGGAGGUACGGUCGGCGAAGUAAGUUAAAACGUUAAAGUUAGUAAGUUAGUUACGGACGUUGAGACGUGCCGACGGACGACGACGAGGGGAGGUUAGG